rnacentral:tRNA from 1 species
ACUUAAUUGGAUUGAGUUUUGGUAUGGAAAUGAGG